AAAAAAAGGCAGCAUCAGAGCCCUGUUGACCCUGCUGAAGCGUGAUGAGUGGAGGCAUGCUGUGAAGAGAAUUCAUUAGGCAGAAACAAGCUUGUGGAAAAACACGUUUGGAUGAAAAUACUACUCUUCCUCUAUAAAUACAUCAGCUUUCAAAAGGAUCAAGGCUGCUGAUCAUGUCUAGAUUUCUGUUCAGUAAUUAUCUUGCAUUCAUAGCUGAAAGGAGCUCUAAGGCUUAAAAGAAAAGCUGCAGAAGAAAAUGCAAAAUGGAGUCAAUUCAUCAGAAGCAGAUUCAUCAAAAUUCAUUAACAUCAGAAGCUGCCAAGCAAAGACAAGCAGGAACCCUAAGAGGUUCUCCCCCUGCACAAUACAGAUUCUCCUUUAACCAAUUUCUUCAUGCAAAUAAUACUAGGAUGAAAGAAAUUCUAUUUUCUGUUGAUGUACAAUGGGAAAUAGAAUAAAAAUGCUCCUUGCUA